UUGUCUAAGAGUGUUCGUAAUGCGUAAAAAAAAAAAAAAAAAAAAAAAAAAGUAAUUAGUUUCAAAUACGGACAAUUAGAGUUAAAAUAUCGAAAGGAGAAUGGCAUAUUAUCUUUCCGUUGUGUAUACUUCGGGGACCAACAAAAAAUCUCUUACAGUUUAUAAACAAGGACAGGAUUUUAUGGGAUUGAGAAACCGUACUUGACCGAUCGCAUAUCUGUCUGAAUCUAUUCUUUGGCCGAUCAUUUAUCAGGAAAGCUUUUAAUCUCGACUUUUCGAUCUGUGGAGUAGCCACGGAUGCUCCAAGCAUUUCUGAUAAAAGUUCAAACAGUAUUAUCUUCGAUAGAUAUACUAACGAAAUAACGGGAAACGUUGUUUACUUCCCUCCUCGACUGGCUUUUAUUUAGGCGAUAUCGAGAUAACAGGAAUUGUUUUAAACGCCAGAGAGGAGCGAUUUGGUAAGGUACUAACGAUAUUGAUCUCUUCCAACGCGAAUAUCUUAAAGUAGCAUCGUGCAUUUGGAGCGAGAGAGAUGGCCGAACUUGUUCGUAGUGACAGUUGCCAUAUUUUGUCGACUUAAUUGAAGCACAGCAUUCGGUUUCGGCCAAAAUGAGUCAGUGGUAAUUACGCCAACAACCAACUAAUACUUUAUUUGAUUAGUUCUGUGCCGGAGCAUUACGCUACUGCUUUCAUACACACCAGUUUUCCAUUUUAUGUACUGUUUACACUAGUGCAAAUAUUUAUUUUUAGUUCUUCGUUUCCAAACAUAAACAAGACGAAAAAGUAGCUAGCAAACAUUUCAAAAAUGAAUAAAACUUACUAGUUUAAAAGAUAACGGAAAAAGUUUGUUCCAACCUCUUAAUGCGCGUAAUUACGCACCAGAUCGAUUCUUUCGAAUGGGUGGAAUCGAGUUGCUAAAAUGUAUUUUCCUCUUUCCGAUCUCUUUCGCUCCAGGCAUUUAAUAUUAAAACACACGCCACACGAAUUCAGAGAAUUAAGCGGUAAUUCGCUGUUAGCAAUCGGAUCACGAAUUUAAUAUCUAUAAGUAGUAGUAGCCGCUGGUCAGAUUUCCUGCCAAAAGUUAAGAGCGUAUAUGUAUAAAGAUACAAACUUUCGAAAAUGAAAAUUAAUCGAAUCGAAUCAUUUGUUUUAUUGCGGAUUUUAAGUGACUUUUUGGAUAGCGCAGUUCGAGGUCAUCGAUCUUUUCACCCGAAACUAAACAAUGCUAGCAAACAGAAAGCAAGAAGAGAGAGAUACAGAAAAAGCUAUAAAUCAAUAUAUAUAUAUAUAUAUAUAUUUUUACACAUGACCCGAUGUAACCUAGAUUGAGAAGUACAGCGGACAUUUUUAAGAUUGAGCCCUGUGUGGGGUUAAUUGCUAGAAAGUUGGAGACUUAUUCCGGAUAUUUAAUACUAUCGAGUUACA
rnacentral:lncRNA from 1 species